rnacentral:lncRNA from 1 species
CUCAUUUCUGAAUUUUCGUAUAAGUUUCUAGUUGUAAUGUAAGUAUCUAUUUUAAAUUUGAUAAAAUAACAAAAAUAUGAAUCUGAGAACUUAUUCAUAAGAUUUGGGGGAUUUGUUCAAAAAGAAAAAAAAAUCUGUGGACCUAUAUGUAAACCCUGAGGACCUAAUCGUAAAUAUAAUAAUACAAUGACUAAACUGCAAAAUGCACAAAAAAAUAAAUCCC